UUCCUGGUCUAAAAUCUUUGCAGGUGUGUUGCGCGACCUGGGGAUUGACCCUGAGGAGAAGAAAAAGAAACCUGUGAAGAAGAAGAAGAAGGUGGAGCCUGAAGUGACCAGCAAGGGCACUGGCCCUAGUCGCGCGACAACUGCUGCUGUCAAAGCUAAGGGAAAAACUGGUGCUGGUGGGUCGAAAAGCUCUGGGAGCGCGGGUUCUCGUAACCCUGAAGCUGGCGCGACUCCAUCUUUUCCUGAAGAUGACGAAGCUGAAGAAGAAGAUGCUGGUGCCCAGCUUAUUGGGCGGAAGAGGGGUAGGAGCGAAGCCACGACUGGUGUGGCUUCCGCCCCUACAUCUGUUGUGAUUCCCGCGGUUGGGAAAACGAGCAAGCUGCGCUCGUUAUACAAAUUUUCUCCUGAAAUCAAGAAGAAGACCCCUGAGAAGGGUGUCACGUUCAGUGAGGCUGUGGCGAAGAGGCCCAAGAUUACCAUCAAGUCCACUGACACUGCUGCUCAGGAUGCCGCGAAGGCUGCUGAGGCGCAGCGAAAGGUGGAG